rnacentral:rRNA from 1 species
AUUGAACGCUGGCGGCAUGCCUUACACAUGCCAGUCGAACGGUAACGGGCCUUCGGGUGCCGACGAGUGGCGAACGGGUGAGUAAUACAUCGGAACGUGCCCGAUCGUGGGGGAUAACGAGGCGAAAGCUUUGCUAAUACCGCAUACGAUCUACGGAUGAAAGCAGGGGACCGCAAGGCCUUGCGCGGACGGAGCGGCCGAUGGCAGAUUAGGUAGUUGGUGGGAUAAAAGCUUACCAAGCCGACGAUCUGUAGCUGGUCUGAGAGGAUGAUCAGCCACACUGGGACUGAGACACGGCCCAGACCCCUACGGGAGGCAGCAGUGGGGAAUUUUGGACAAUGGGCGCAAGCCUGAUCCAGCCAUGCCGCGUGCAGGAUGAAGGCCUUCGGGUUGUAAACUGCUUUUGAACGGAACGAAAAGCCUUCUUUUAAUACAGGAGGGUCAUGACGGUACCGUAAGAAUAAGCACCGGCUAACUACGUG